AGUGAACGCUGGCGGUAGGCCUAACACAUGCAAGUCGAACGGCAGCACAGUAAGAGCUUGCUCUUACGGGUGGCGAGUGGCGGACGGGUGAGGAAUACAUCGGAAUCUACUUUUUCGUGGGGGAUAACGUAGGGAAACUUACGCUAAUACCGCAUACGACCUACGGGUGAAAGCAGGGGAUCUUCGGACCUUGCGCGAUUGAAUGAGCCGAUGUCGGAUUAGCUAGUUGGCGGGGUAAAGGCCCACCAAGGCGACGAUCCGUAGCUGGUCUGAGAGGAUGAUCAGCCACACUGGAACUGAGGCACGGUCCAGACUCCUACGGGAGGCAGCAGUGGGGAAUAUUGGACAAUGGGCGCAAGCCUGAUCCAGCCAUACCGCGUGGGUGAAGAAGGCCUUCGGGUUGUAAAGCCCUUUUGUUGGGAAAGAAAAGCAGCAGGUUAAUACCCCGCUGUUCUGACGGUACCCAAAGAACAAGCACCGGCUAACUUCGUG
rnacentral:rRNA from 1 species